rnacentral:lncRNA from 1 species
UCCAAUCUUAUUCAUUUAGGCUUCAUUCUGUUGGGAAAUGAUACCGGAAAAUAACAACAAUAAUAGUACUGCAAUAAUAUUAUUUAUGAGUGAAAAUACUUCAACUGGCUUGAACCGUGCGAGAGACAUUAAACAAGUCUACCUCUAUUAAAGGAGGAUACAUGAAUCAGUAAAAUAUUAAUUUUCAAAUCCAAUAAUUAAUAAAAAGAAUAAGACCACUAAUGUGAAAUAUUAAUUAAAUACUAUAGGAGAAGAUUUGGAAGAAAGAGGAGAGGGGCGUGUGAG